rnacentral:rRNA from 1 species
CCUACGGGAGGCAGCAGUGGGGAAUAUUGCACAAUGGGGGAAACCCUGAUGCAGCGACGCCGCGUGAGUGAAGAAGCGUUUCGGCGCGUAAAGCUCUGUCAGCGGGGAAGAAACACGGUUCGCGAGAGCCGCGGACGGUACCCGACCAAGAAGCCCCGGCUAACUACGUGCCAGCAGCCGCGGUAAUACGUAGGGGGCAAGCGUUAUCCGGAUUUACUGGGUGUAAAGGGAGCGUAGACGGCUGUGCAAGUCUGAAGUGAAAGCCCAGGGCUCAACCCUGGGACUGCUUUGGAAACUGUGGAGCUAGAGUGCUGGAGAGGUAAGUGGAAUUCCUAGUGUAGCGGUGAAAUGCGUAGAUAUUAGGAGGAACACCAGUGGCGAAGGCGGCUUACUGGACAGUAACUGACGUUGAGGCUCGAAAGCGUGGGGAGCAAACAGGAUUAGAUACCCCUGUAGUC